rnacentral:rRNA from 1 species
GAUGAACGCUGGCGGCGUGCCUAAUACAUGCAAGUCGAGCGAACAGACGAGGAGCUUGCUCCUCUGACGUUAGCGGCGGACGGGUGAGUAACACGUGGAUAACCUACCUAUAAGACUGGGAUAACUUCGGGAAACCGGAGCUAAUACCGGAUAAUAUCUUGAACCGCAUGGUUGAAUAGUGAAAGACGGUUUUGCUGUCACUUAUAGCUGGAUCCGCGCCGCAUUAGCUAGUUGGUAAGGUAACGGCUUACCAAGGCAACGAUGCGUAGCCGACCUGAGAGGGUGAUCGGCCACACUGGAACUGAGACGCGGUCCAGACUCCUACGGGAGGCAGCAGUAGGGAAUCUUCCGCAAUGGGCGAAAGCCUGACGGAGCAACGCCGCGUGAGUGAUGAAGGUCUUCGGAUCGUAAAACUCUGUUAUUAGGGAAGAACAAAUGUGUAAGUAACUAUGCACGUCUUGACGGUACCUAAUCAGAAAGCCACGGCUAACUACGUG